rnacentral:rRNA from 1 species
GACGAACGCUGGCGGCGUGCCUAAUACAUGCAAGUAGAACGCUGAAGAGAGGAGCUUGCUCUUCUUGGAUGAGUUGCGAACGGGUGAGUAACGCGUAGGUAACCUGCCUUGUAGCGGGGGAUAACUAUUGGAAACGAUAGCUAAUACCGCAUAACAAUGGAUGACACAUGUCAUUUAUUUGAAAGGGGCAAUUGCUCCACUACAAGAUGGACCUGCGUUGUAUUAGCUAGUAGGUGAGGUAAUGGCCCACCUAGGCGACGAUACAUAGCCGACCUGAGAGGGUGAUCGGCUACACUGGGACUGAGACACGGCCCAGACUCCUACGGGAGGCAGCAGUAGGGAAUCUUCGGCAAUGGGGGCAACCCUGACCGAGCAACGCCGCGUGAGUGAAGAAGGUUUUCGGAUCGUAAAGCUCUGUUGUAAGUCAAGAACGGGUGUGAGAGUGGAAAGUUCACACUGUGACGGUAGCUUACCAGAAAGGGACGGCUAACUACGUG